rnacentral:rRNA from 1 species
AUUGAACGCUGGCGGCAGGCCUAACACAUGCAAGUCGAACGAGUGGCGGACGGGUGAGUAAUGUCUGGGAAACUGCCCGAUGGCGGGGGAUAACUACUGGAAACGGUAGCUCAUACCGCAUACCAUCGGAUGUGCCCAGAUGGGAUUAGCUAGCCGGUGGGGUAAAGGCUCAACGAGGCGACGAUCCCUAGCUGGUCUGAGAGGAUGACCAGCAAUCCUGGAACUGAGACACGGUCCAGACUCCUACGGGAGGCAGCAGUGGGUAAUAUUGCACAAUGGGCGCAAGCCUGAUGCAGCCAUGCCGCGUGUAUGAAGAAGGCCUUCGGGUUGUAAAGUACUUUCAGCGAGGAGGCGUUACUCGCAGAAGAAGCACCGGCUAACUCCGUGCCAGCAGCCGCGGUAAUUC